GGCUUAUCAGUGAUGUUUAGAAAAAAUGUCUGAACUUAUGAAAAUUUGUGAUUCUAAGUUUUGACUGAGAUAAGCC